AAAUCCCUAUAGAUGAGUUGUCUUCAUUGAAGAUCCUUCGAUUAAGUGGGUCAAACGUUUCUUGCUUUCUUAGUGGAUCCGAUAAGCUUUCUGCUCUUGAGGAAUUUCAAUAUACAACUACAGGACUUUCCAAUCGUUGCCGCAAAGCAUUGCUUAGCUGCCUUCGUGCAACUCCUUCAAUUAAGAAGGCGUCAAAAUAUUUGGUCGCUCCCACAACUUCUUGCCUGUUUAACAGAUUUAAGAGUUGCUGCUAAAAACAAAAAACAAAAAAAGAAAGAAAAAACAGAUUUAAGAGUUACCUGUCAGCAUCACACAUUGCCUCAACUCUCAUCUGGUCCACCUAAAAGUGCUCGUUUUUUAUAUUUUCCAACUGUUGAAAUCCAUGCCGGACCUUCCCUCUAGAUUAUGGGAGCUUUGUGUUUACAAUUGCAAUGAGUUGAAAGAGUUACCAAGUUUGUCGAGAUUGGUAUUCUUGUCAAAGUUAGCUCUUUCUUGUUGCAAUGAGCUGACAGAAUUCAAGGGUCUGGAAGCAUCAAAAUCCUUAGAAAGAUUCUUUGUACAUAGAUGCCAAAAGUUGUCCAACCUUGAUGGCCUUGAACAUCUAUCAAAAAACUUAGAAAAAUUGAGUUUACCUAGGUGCAGAUCCAUUGAAAUAUUACCAGACCUCUCGUGCUUCGAUAACCUGACAUAUUUGAACAUGAGAGGGUGCUCAAAGCUUCGUGAUGUUCAGGGACUAGAGAAAGUCACAAAUGUAUACAAAUGAGGGAUUUAGCUUCGAGCCUCAGCAAAUUGUCCCCAUCUGUGGAAAUUCGAAAUUUUAAUGAAAAGAUGGGGUCAAUCUCGCAUAAACUCGUGGAGACCACAGAGCUCUAGGAAUCGAGGUGUUCAACUCUAAAAGAUGUUCAGCGAUGCAACUUAUCAGAAUUCCAUUCGUUCAUUGCACUACUGCAGCAGAGAGAAACAAUGGGUCCCCGAAUUCACAUUUUGCUUUGAAAGGUAAAUAAAGCAGGAACGUGGAAGCUGAUGAAGGAAUAUGAUAUGAUGCUUUAGAGAAAUCACUCUCUUGAUAAUGCCAACAGUCAGAUGUCAUAGCCAUCAAGAAACCCCUCAACUAAAGUUAUCUCAGUCCCUCAACAAUUUUUUUCGUGAGAUUCAGGACCUGUGGAGGUAUCUUCGGGCAACCAAAGCAGCUUCCGUGACGGCACCCUCGACUUAGCAUUUGCUUCCUUUAAACGUUCGCCCUCUGUAGUUCUUGAAGUUGGCCAUGCAGCUCAGUAAGUUUUGACUGCACUCCUGGCUCAAAUUGUCAUCUGUACAACACCCGCUUGGUCUCAAUGUUCAGAUUCCCUGGGGUGAACGUGGUUCCUAGUUAGAACUGGAAAUCGGAGAACCAAACCAGAGUCCCGGUUCUAAAGAGAUCGGUUCCGGUUCCCAAUUUCUUUUUUUUGGAACCGUUCUCCUCUGUCUCUGCCCGACGCUGCUCGCCCUUGAUGAGUUCCUCGACGAAUCUCCACACGGAGUCGGGCCUCAAGUCCCUCGACGAGUUCCUCUCCGGCAAGACCUACAUCUCCGGAGAUCAGCUCACGAAGGAGGAAGGACGACAUCAAGGUGUACGCCGCGGCUCUCGAGAAGCCCGGAGGCUCGUUCCCGAACGCCGGCAAGUGGUACCGUCAUUUGUGCUCUCCCACAAAGGAAUGCACAACAAUUACAAAGGUCAGGGUGGAUGAAAGAGACUGUCGACUUGCCAUUGAGUCGGAUGAGGAGAUUGACAGUGGAUUUCCUUGCUUGUUUGAUGACAGGGAGACGGAUAAGGGUAGCUCCAUAACAGAUGAAGUCAAGGUAGAGACAGUGCGUAUUCUAAGGAAAGUGAGGAAACAAAAGUGGAGGUCUUCCAAAACUAUAGUCAUUAUUGAAGGCCAAUGCUUCUUCCAUAGUUCUCCGUAGCUUGGUGUUGGAAAUAAGGCUCAAUCCUGGCGGAGAGGAGGCAAGCUUCUUGGAAAAGCAGAUCCAAUUCUGACGAAUAACCACCAUAAGGUGACAGAAAUACACAAUUUUAGUCAGGAUGAUUUGAUGACCGAAGAUAUAUUUGUCUUGGAUUGUCACUCAGCAAUCUUUGUCUGGUUGGGACAACAAGUUGACUCCAAGAUGAAAAUGCAUGCUUUAACCAUUGGAGAGCUUUCAGUGAUCACUGAGGAGCGGGAUAAAUAUCAAACUCUUGUCAAUGAGCUGAAGAAGCCGGAGAAAGAUGAAACUGGGAGUAAAGUGGCAAAUGAGUUGCAGUUGUCUCUUGCCAAGAAGGAAUGCUGUAUCAAAGAAAUGGAGAGCAGUUUAAAUGAGCAAAAGGAAGCUAAUAAUCCGCAACAGGAGGAGAUUUAAAUGAGAGGCUAAAUAAUGAAGCAAGAAGGAUAAAAUCACUGGAAAGGGAAAGUGAUCGGCUUAGAUCAGAAAUUUCUCUUUUGGAGUCAAAGCUGGGUCAUGGUGAUUUUUCUGCCACAAGUACAAAAGUACUGCGCAUGGUGAAUACACUUGCAAUUGAUAAUGAGGCAAAGCAAACCAUUCAAGGGGCAGGUCUCUUGCUUUCAAUGCACUAGCUGCUAAUUUUGAGAAUCCAAAUGCAAGAAAUCUCUCAACACCACCAAUUGUCAGGAAGAUCUUUCCAAAGUCUGUCACCCCUGAUUCAACGAAAUUGGCUUCCAAAUCUUCAGCUAUAGCAGCUAUCAGUUCCACUUUUGAGAAAUCACCACCAAUACGAGAAGUCAUCAUACCCAAAUCUAUCGAAGGUACACCAUAACUUAUAAAUUAAUGCUUAGGGAAAUACACCAACAAUUGACUAUUGUUUCUAUGGAGUUUUAUCUUAUCAUUUUAUUUUACCGGGCGGUGAGUCCUGAGACACCAAAACAGAAUUCAGAGCCUAAUAACAAAGAGAACUCAUGCUUGGUCGAA